rnacentral:misc_RNA from 1 species
GAUGAAGAACGUAGCGAAAUGCGAUAAGUAGUGUGAAUUGCAGAAUUCAGUGAAUCAUCGAAUCUUUGAACGCACAUUGCGCCCCUUGGUAUUCCAUGGGGCAUGCCUGUUCGAGCGUCAUUUGUACCUUCAAGCUCUGCUUGGUGUUGGGUGUUUGUCUCGCCUCUGCGUGUAGACUCGCCUUAAAACAAUUGGCAGCCGGCGUAUUGAUUUCGGAGCGCAGUACAUCUCGCGCUUUGCACUCAUAACGACGACGUCCAAAAGUACAUUUUUACACUCUUGACCUCGGAUCAGGUAGGGAUACCCGCUGAACUUAAGCAUAGCAAUAAGCGGAGGA